rnacentral:rRNA from 1 species
UAUUGCACAAUGGGGGAAACCCUGAUGCAGCCAUGCCGCGUGUGUGAAGAAGGCCUUCGGGUUGUAAAGCACUUUCAGCGAGGAGGAAAGGGUGUAAGUUAAUACCUUACAUCUGUGACGUUACUCGCAGAAGAAGCACCGGCUAACUCCGUGCCAGCAGCCGCGGUAAUACGGAGGGUGCGAGCGUUAAUCGGAAUUACUGGGCGUAAAGCGCGCGCAGGCGGUUUGUUAAGCGAGAUGUGAAAGCCCCGGGCUCAACCUGGGAACCGCAUUUCGAACUGGCAAACUAGAGUCUUGUAGAGGGGGGUAGAAUUCCAGGUGUAGCGGUGAAAUGCGUAGAGAUCUGGAGGAAUACCGGUGGCGAAGGCGGCCCCCUGGACAAAGACUGACGCUCAGGCACGGA